ensembl:snRNA U1 U1 spliceosomal RNA
AUACUUAUCUGGCAGGGGAGAUACCAUGAUCAUGAAGGUGGUUUUCCCAGGGUGAGGCUCACCCAUUGCACUCCAGAUGUGCUGACCCUUGCGAUUUCCCCAAAUGUGGGAAACUCGACUGCAUAAUUUGUGGUAGUGGGGGACUGCGUUUGCGCUAUCCCCUA